AUGUGUUUCACAGGACAAAUAGUUGAUAGGGUCCUCGGAUUUCCUCAGGCCUUCCCCACAAGGCUGGACACGAUGGCUGCGAAGACAUCAAAGAAACGUAGGAAUCCGUCCUAUGUGAGGAUUCUAGACAUUGGAAUAGAAAAGACUCGUGUGUGGGAAGGAAGUGGAGAGACAGCCCAGUGGUCUCAGCCUUGGGAGCAAGAACUCCAGUACCUAAGGGAAAGAUGCUGCAGCUGCGUGUCUGGGAUACUGAAGGAGCAAUGACUGGAUGGAGAGUCAGCUGAAGAUUUUCUUCAACAAGAAAAAUAUUCUGUAGAGAAAGUAUGAAUGGAUCAUGUGAAUAAGUAGGGAAAACACUGUUUAAAAGUUCAAGAGAACAGAAUAUUUUAAAAUUGUAUCUUAGAAUCUGCCACUCAUGUACACAGCUCAGAUGUGCCCAUUUCUCUCCAGCUUGCUCUAGUCUAAAACAGUCAGUGAAGAGCAGCACGUUUUUGGCCCCAUUGAGGACAUAUGCUGUGGAAGGUUGUGCCUUGGCCUUAGGGCCACAGAAUUCUCAGUGCUAAUCCCCGCUUGCCACUUAAUAGCUGUGUGAGCUUUGAUAAAUCAAGGGAUUUCAAAUCACUUGAUUUCUCUGUGCCCCAAUUCCUUCUUCACCCUCUGCGGAUCUUGUAAAAACUGAGUUAGCACACAGAAUAUCUAGCUAGUUCAUUAUAUGGCAGCAUAUGGUACAUAUAGAUACUCAAUAAAUAUUAAUUCCUUCCUUUUUUCCCCUCCUUUCAGUUGCUUCAUUUACAUAAAAAUAAUACGUCUUCUUAUAUUUAAAAAGAAAUAGUUCAAGACCAGCCUGGGCAACAUAGUGAGACCCUGUCUCUACAAACUAAAAAAAUUGACUGGGCAUGGUGGUGUCCAUCUGUCCCAGCCACUCGGGAGGCUGAGGUGAGAGGAUCUUAUGAGCCCAGGAGUUCGAGACCACAGUGAGUUAUAAUUGGGCCACUGCACUCCAGCCUGGGCAACAAAGCAAGAACUCACCAAUAAAAUAAAAUAAAAAUAAAAUAAAAUAAAAUAAUUUUAGGCUUUCCAUUGAUUUAGGUUGUUCUUCCUCAAAUCAGGACUGAUUGCUGUUGGUCUAGUUAAUAAGACCAAUUCUAUUCUGAGACAGGGAUGAGAAAUUUGCUUUUAGCUUUGAACUCUGCCUCCAGAACUGCAACUCCAAUAUCAGGUCACUUACAGAAUGAGCCCCUUGCUGAUGUGUGAAGUGCUUUUCUAUGUCUGUAUUCUGGAAACAAUGGAACCUGUAGUAUUUGGAGAUAUCACAAAGAACUUGUGGCAGAGGUGGCUACUGUCUACCAAAGAUUCAUAUUUUCCUUCUAACCGUGCAGAACGAGGUGGUUCCCAGCCAGCUCCGCACUUCACAGAAGUUUUUCCCACUUCUGUCUAGUGGCCUAGAGGGGCUGGGCCACUUGUCUUCAAUGGCAGUGUCAGAGCAGAGUGCUCUCUGUCCCUUCAGAUGGAUGUUGUGGCAAAUCAAGGCACCCUCUUCAUACCUUUUUUCUUGUCUUGUCCAACAUUGAAUGUUGAUGGUCAGGGUGACUUUGGAGACCAUUUCUUGAAGAUGGCCGAGUUUCCAUCAUACCUAAAGGUAAAUAGGUUCCCUCUAGCAACCCACUGAGAUUAAUUAGCAUCCUCUGUGAUUCCAGUCCCCAGCCCCACCCCUGCUGCUGCCUGAAGGCAAGAACCAACCUUUAUAGGGAGACCAAUGGAUGGGGAGUAGAGUCUGGUUCCUGGGAAUCUGAGCUUGUGCAGCUGCUAUGAGUCAAAUGGUGUGGGGUGAAGGGUGCUGGACCAGGGGUGGACUACUCGAUCCACUCACUUUAUUGUAAAGCAGUUAGUUUGUUAAAAAAAAAAAAAAAAAAAAAAUUUGACCUUGCAGUUUUCUUACAUUGGUUUUAGGAGCUUGGGUAAUGUGACUCUGCCCUGAGAGAUGAUCAUUUUCCCAAUUUCUGAGUCCUCUGGUGGAGAGCCACACCUAGACAAGGUUAAUUUCUCCAGGACGGGCUGUUAUAUGUUACUUGAGAAUCAGGAUUUAGAGUGAGGACUGUGAAAAUUGUGCAGUUGUUUGUAUAAAACUUCAGGUUGAAGAAUCACUCAGCAAAACUAAACAACAACAACAAAAAACGAAUUAAAAGAAAAUCUGUUAGAUGAUAUCUUGGUAUUCAAGCUAUCAUCCCCUUAAAAUAACUAUCAACUUCUAAGUGGUAAAUGGGAGAUGAGUGGAAAAUUCUAAAAUGCCCUGUUUGCCAGCAGAUUGUUUUCCAUUCUUUUGUAGUAUUUGGCAUCUAUAAACCUUAGUUCAUGUUAGGCAAUGCGCUUUUUCAGAAGAAGAAGAACAUGGCCAAGUUGCACCUAAAAGGCACCCUGUAUGUUGAAUCUCCACAUCAUGCUCCUCCACUGCAGUGAAGCCUCACAGUUGCUUUUGAAAAGUAUGAGUUUCUACAGUGAGCAAACAAAAUAAUGCAUAGUUCAAAGCACUUUGUAAACUAUAAAGGAUUAUACAAAUGUCAAGUAUUAUUAUAACAGAACAAUUUUGUCUUUUUCUUUGAAAUGUUUUUUAAAUCCCUGAUAACAUAAAGAUGUGGGUCCAUCAUGUCAUAAUGUAAGAACUCUGUUCAUUUCUCUGUAACUUAAGUUUGUAAAUUUUCUUUUUGAAUACCCCGAACUGCCCCCUCCCCUAAAAACACACACAGACACACACACACACACACAAAACACACAGAGCCCAAAGGGCUACUAAAUACAAAAAUUUAAAAAGUAAUUCUGCUACUAAAUACUAAAAAUAAAAAAUGAUUAUAUUAAAACAACCUAACAUUGCAUAGCUUCCAAAUCCUUCCCGUGUUGACUAAGGAAAGGGGAUGUAUUUCUAUUUUUCAGAGUACCUAUG
ensembl:lncRNA